UGUGUGUGUGUGUGUGUGUAUGUGUGUGUGUGUGUAUAAGCUGUUUAAGGCAUAUAUUAGGGACACCCUGUCCAACAUAGUCGUGCAUAAUUCAUUGACAGCAUAUAUUGCGCAGCACGGUGUAAUGGUCCGUUCCAUUUCCCGUUCAACAGUUAGGAUCACAUUUUCCCUGUUUGCAAUCAAUUGUCCUCGACGGUGAUGUCAAGCCUGCAACCCUUGAGGUGAAUUUGUCAUGGUUUGUGCAAAUGAAUCGAAAGGUUCCACCCUCUGACCUGAAAACGUCUCUCGGUAAAACAAAAACGCCUUGGUGGAGGUCCGCGCUCUCCGGCAACCUCUGUCACGGCCACGGACGGGACCUCAGCCCGGGAAAGUGUCGAUCACGCGCACAACCCACCCAACAAGUCA